CUGAAUUAUCCUGUAUGUAUCAGUGCUGCUACAAUAUCUUUGUUCUCCUUUGCCAGUGGCUUUCCAUGAAAGGUUCCAUCUCUCUUCUGGCUCUUUCUUUGUGCUCUGGUAUCCUUACUGGUAGGAGCAGUUAGGGCAGACCCACCAAAGUGGUAGGAUCCAGUGACCGCUCCCAGAAGCUGCGUUGGUGUUCACAGAUAAUGUGAGAAAGUGUCUUCAAUCUGGUGCAAGAACUAUCCGUGCUGGGCUUGGCUCAUUCAGUAUUGUUCUUUAUUUAUCAUUAAUAUGGCAGUGAUGCCUAACGGCCACAAUCAGGCUGCACUAGGUGCUGUGCAAACAUACAGUGUGUGACCAUCUCUGCCCCAAAGAGCUUGUAGUCAAAAUAAGAUGCACUAGGUGGAUGAGGCAAAUAGGUGUGCUGAGUGGGAGGCAGGGUAAUAAAUGUAACACCAUGUGCACAAUCCUUAGGCUGACAAGUGAUCACGGCUCCCCACCUGCCUAGCCAUUCUCAAGCUGUUCAUGUCGCUCCCAGAAAGGCACGGGCUAGAGAAGACAAGGUUUCAUGGGAUGUCAUGUUCUGUGUGUAAGCAGAGUCAGAAUGAGCUCUACCCUGACAUCUGGUGGUGAGCUGUGGAAAAUGACUUCAGGGGCUGAUCUAGUUUGCAUGGGCACACUCACCCUGCCUAACAUGGACUGCCUGCCCAAAUAGUCACUUUGGCUCCUGUGGGAUCCCCACUCUCUUUGUUGCUGGGGCAGGAGUAAUAAAGCGUUGUUAUCCUGGUUAUGUGAAACAAGGACAGUAGAACUCUACUUGGCAUUUUCUGAUGGAGGGACUCAUUCUCAACUAAGCAGCACUUGCUAGGCAAGGGACAUGGGUUCCAAAACCCAGUGAAUUGAGAGAGAGGCUGGGGACAGGUGUGUGUAUCUGGUAGUGUGGGCCCCUUCUGAGGGUUCUAAACACUACUUUGCCCCCUUCUCUCUACACCAUGUAAUAACAGAGCUAAUUCUGAGUCCAUUAGGAGUCUUGUUACAUGCUGCAGAGCUGAAAUCACUGAUACCUAGGUCUAAGCAUUGAACCUACUUUGGGCUAGUGAUCCACCAGCACUGGGACCCCCCUACUACCAGCUAAAUUCACUGAGAGCUGAACUCACUAAAGAGCUGUAGUUACUAAGAACUGAGAUCACAGAGCUGUGUUAAGGAGCGGGGGCCUGAAGACAAGCUGGUGAGCAGCUAGCAGGGUGGUUGGCGGAGAGGAGUGGACAGCAGGAUGGCUAGUGGAAAGGAGCGGCGAGCAGAGUGGAGAGCAUGGCGGUUGGCGGAGAGGAGCGGAAAGCAGGACGGGUUGCGGCAAGGCACAGCUGACGGUGAAGACUGCAGCAGAACCACAUGGAGAGGCAUGGCACUUGGCCAUCGACCCGAGCAGCAGAGCAUGGAGAACCGGUGGAGUUCCUGGGAAUGAAAGGCUGAAGUAUCUGGACUUGGAUUGCUCCUGACAAGCAGAAAGACUCUCAGAGUAACAGUGCAAGAAGGGUAGGCAACGGAUUGAUCUGGAAGGAAAAAGCACAGGGGCUGUAACAACAGCUGAGACUGGCAGAGGGAAACAAAAGCCAAGCCAGAUGACUUGCCAAAGAAGGAACCCUUAGAGCUUGCAGGCUGAUAUGCAGACUGGUAUGUAGAGAGGAGCAGGAAUGUAGAUGGAAGAAUAUAGCAACUGGCAGAAGCAGAGGAGAGCAGUUUAUUCUAGUCUCCCCACAGGAACCAUGCCUCCAUUUUGGGAGGAACAGAAGCAGACUAAGAGGAGGCCAGAGACUGUAGAAGAUGAUGGCCCUGCAAAGAAAAAGAUGGAAAAACCCAGGUUAUGGUGAGUUUCCAUAGCAACGCAAUACUUUUCCUGGGAAUUUCAAAGGAAUAGAUCAAAUGUCUGUAACUCUCAAAUUCCAAAUCCUCCAGCUCCAGGAUUUGCCCACAACCAAUUGCAGUGGUCACAUGUUCACCAAGAGCUUCAGUGGUGCAAUAAGAUCAUGAACGAUGGACGCAGACUGAA